GGCAAUCUGCCCUAAAGACUGGGAUACCACUUGGAAACAGGUGCUAAUACCGGAUAACAACAUGAAUCGCAUGAUUCAAGUUUGAAAGGCGGCGCAAGCUGUCACUUUAGGAUGAGCCCGCGGCGCAUUAGCUAGUUGGUGGGGUAAAGGCCUACCAAGGCAAUGAUGCGUAGCCGAGUUGAGAGACUGAUCGGCCACAUUGGGACUGAGACACGGCCCAAACUCCUACGGGAGGCAGCAGUAGGGAAUCUUCCACAAUGGACGCAAGUCUGAUGGAGCAACGCCGCGUGAGUGAAGAAGGUUUUCGGAUCGUAAAGCUCUGUUGUUGGUGAAGAAGGAUAGAGGCAGUAACUGGUCUUUAUUUGACGGUAAUCAACCAGAAAGUCACGGCUAACUACGUGCCAGCAGCCGCGGUAAUACGUAGGUGGCAAGCGUUGUCCGGAUUUAUUGGGCGUAAAGCGAGCGCAGGCGGAAUGAUAAGUCUGAUGUGAAAGCCCACGGCUCAACCGUGGAACUGCAUCGGAAACUGUCAUUCUUGAGUGCAGAAGAGGAGAGUGGAAUUCCAUGUGUAGCGGUGGAAUGCGUAGAUAUAUGGAAGAACACCAGUGGCGAAGGCGGCUCUCUGGUCUGCAACUGACGCUGAGGCUC
rnacentral:rRNA from 1 species